UGCUUGGUACCCUACAAACAAAAAGGGGUGCAGAAUUGCAUAAAAUUAUAGGACAUUAUAUGGCUGACCUCUGUACUCUGCAGCAAGGCAAGUGCACAAAGCCUGCAGUACAGCUCACCUAACUCGAGACCAGCAGCACAUGAACAAGAUCAGAGACCCACCAUCACAACUAAGCAGACAUACAAAUAAGUCCGCAAUAGUGAAUGGCAUCUCGUUCAAAUACUGUGCUUGUCAUCCUAGAAAGUACCAACGACGAUCAAGGGCGCACAUUGCAGAUACAUAAAAAAAUGACAGGAUGGGCCUUUGUUUCUGUUUUAGCAAGGCAAGAGCACACAGCCUAGAAGGCGUCGAUUUCGUUGUCGAUGGAGAAGGGAAUGAUUGCAACCGAGACAAGCUGAAGAACGAUCUUCAUAGCAGUGUAGGUCACAUAACCCAGAUCAGCAGAUGGACAAGGUCCAAGACCUACUCAUGAAGAUCUUUUUUUAGGAAAUGAGCAGCACAUCGUUAGCUGUUCUACCCAACUUCUGAUAAGAGAAUAUAUAAACAAGAAGCUGCAAGUUCUAAUGAUAAUAUUUCCCCCAAAAUGACACAAGCUCAUGACGAUGAUGGCGGUGGCGGUGGCGGUGGUGGAGGUGGCGUCGAUACAAGGUCAUGACGAUGAUGGCGGUGGCGGUGGUGGAGGUGGUGUCGAUGGUCCCCUUGGCUCAUUGCCUUGCUGGUGAUCCUUUCCAGCAACCUUCUCGUCCAAGACAUCCUUCAGCCCU
rnacentral:lncRNA from 1 species